GGCAGUGCAGCCUAGUGGCUAGAGCACUAGACUGGGAAUCAGGAGACCUGGGCUCUAUUUCUAGCUCUGCCA
rfam:Chelonia mydas contig241483, whole genome shotgun sequence.